UUAAGCGACUAAGCGUACACGGUGGAUGCCCUGGCAGUCAGAGGCGAUGAAGGACGUGCUAAUCUGCGAUAAGCGUCGGUAAGGUGAUAUGAACCGUUAUAACCGGCGAUUUCCGAAUGGGGAAACCCAGUGUGAUUCGUCACACUAUCAUUAACUGAAUCCAUAGGUUAAUGAGGCGAACCGGGGGAACUGAAACAUCUAAGUACCCCGAGGAAAAGAAAUCAACCGAGAUUCCCCCAGUAGCGGCGAGCGAACGGGGAGCAGCCCAGAGCCUGAAUCAGUGUGUGUGUUAGUGGAAGCGUCUGGAAAGGCGCGCGAUACAGGGUGACAGCCCCGUACACAAAAAUGCACAUGCUGUGAGCUCGAUGAGUAGGGCGGGACACGUGGUAUCCUGUCUGAAUAUGGGGGGACCAUCCUCCAAGGCUAAAUACUCCUGACUGACCGAUAGUGAACCAGUACCGUGAGGGAAAGGCGAAAAGAACCCCGGCGAGGGGAGUGAAAAAGAACCUGAAACCGUGUACGUACAAGCAGUGGGAGCACGCUUCGGCGUGUGACUGCGUACCUUUUGUAUAAUGGGUCAGCGACUUAUAUUCUGUAGCAAGGUUAACCGAAUAGGGGAGCCGAAGGGAAACCGAGUCUUAACUGGGCGUUAAGUUGCAGGGUAUAGACCCGAAACCCGGUGAUCUAGCCAUGGGCAGGUUGAAGGUUGGGUAACACUAACUGGAGGACCGAACCGACUAAUGUUGAAAAAUUAGCGGAUGACUUGUGGCUGGGGGUGAAAGGCCAAUCAAACCGGGAGAUAGCUGGUUCUCCCCGAAAGCUAUUUAGGUAGCGCCUCGUGAAUUCAUCUCCGGGGGUAGAGCACUGUUUCGGCAAGGGGGUCAUCCCGACUUACCAACCCGAUGCAAACUGCGAAUACCGGAGAAUGUUAUCACGGGAGACACACGGCGGGUGCUAACGUCCGUCGUGAAGAGGGAAACAACCCAGACCGCCAGCUAAGGUCCCAAAGUCAUGGUUAAGUGGGAAACGAUGUGGGAAGGCCCAGACAGCCAGGAUGUUGGCUUAGAAGCAGCCAUCAUUUAAAGAAAGCGUAAUAGCUCACUGGUCGAGUCGGCCUGCGCGGAAGAUGUAACGGGGCUAAACCAUGCACCGAAGCUGCGGCAGCGACACUAUGUGUUGUUGGGUAGGGGAGCGUUCUGUAAGCCUGUGAAGGUGGCCUGUGAGGGUUGCUGGAGGUAUCAGAAGUGCGAAUGCUGACAUAAGUAACGAUAAAGCGGGUGAAAAGCCCGCUCGCCGGAAGACCAAGGGUUCCUGUCCAACGUUAAUCGGGGCAGGGUGAGUCGACCCCUAAGGCGAGGCCGAAAGGCGUAGUCGAUGGGAAACAGGUUAAUAUUCCUGUACUUGGUGUUACUGCGAAGGGGGGACGGAGAAGGCUAUGUUGGCCGGGCGACGGUUGUCCCGGUUUAAGCGUGUAGGCUGGUUUUCCAGGCAAAUCCGGAAAAUCAAGGCUGAGGCGUGAUGACGAGGCACUACGGUGCUGAAGCAACAAAUGCCCUGCUUCCAGGAAAAGCCUCUAAGCAUCAGGUAACAUCAAAUCGUACCCCAAACCGACACAGGUGGUCAGGUAGAGAAUACCAAGGCGCUUGAGAGAACUCGGGUGAAGGAACUAGGCAAAAUGGUGCCGUAACUUCGGGAGAAGGCACGCUGAUAUGUAGGUGAAGCGACUUGCUCGUGGAGCUGAAAUCAGUCGAAGAUACCAGCUGGCUGCAACUGUUUAUUAAAAACACAGCACUGUGCAAACACGAAAGUGGACGUAUACGGUGUGACGCCUGCCCGGUGCCGGAAGGUUAAUUGAUGGGGUUAGCGGUAACGCGAAGCUCUUGAUCGAAGCCCCGGUAAACGGCGGCCGUAACUAUAACGGUCCUAAGGUAGCGAAAUUCCUUGUCGGGUAAGUUCCGACCUGCACGAAUGGCGUAAUGAUGGCCAGGCUGUCUCCACCCGAGACUCAGUGAAAUUGAACUCGCUGUGAAGAUGCAGUGUACCCGCGGCAAGACGGAAAGACCCCGUGAACCUUUACUAUAGCUUGACACUGAACAUUGAGCCUUGAUGUGUAGGAUAGGUGGGAGGCUUUGAAGUGUGGACGCCAGUCUGCAUGGAGCCGACCUUGAAAUACCACCCUUUAAUGUUUGAUGUUCUAACGUUGACCCGUGAUCCGGGUUGCGGACAGUGUCUGGUGGGUAGUUUGACUGGGGCGGUCUCCUCCUAAAGAGUAACGGAGGAGCACGAAGGUUGGCUAAUCCUGGUCGGACAUCAGGAGGUUAGUGCAAUGGCAUAAGCCAGCUUGACUGCGAGCGUGACGGCGCGAGCAGGUGCGAAAGCAGGUCAUAGUGAUCCGGUGGUUCUGAAUGGAAGGGCCAUCGCUCAACGGAUAAAAGGUACUCCGGGGAUAACAGGCUGAUACCGCCCAAGAGUUCAUAUCGACGGCGGUGUUUGGCACCUCGAUGUCGGCUCAUCACAUCCUGGGGCUGAAGUAGGUCCCAAGGGUAUGGCUGUUCGCCAUUUAAAGUGGUACGCGAGCUGGGUUUAGAACGUCGUGAGACAGUUCGGUCCCUAUCUGCCGUGGGCGCUGGAGAACUGAGGGGGGCUGCUCCUAGUACGAGAGGACCGGAGUGGACGCAUCACUGGUGUUCGGGUUGUCAUGCCAAUGGCACUGCCCGGUAGCUAAAUGCGGAAGAGAUAAGUGCUGAAAGCAUCUAAGCACGAAACUUGCCCCGAGAUGAGUUCUCCCUGACUCCCUGAGAGUCCUGAAGGAACGUUGAAGACGACGACGUUGAUAGGCCGGGUGUGUAAGCGCAGCGAUGCGUUGAGCUAACCGGUACUAAUGAACCGUGAGGCUUAACCU
rnacentral:rRNA from 1 species